UGAAAUGGCUUUUUAUGGAAAACGUCUUACCGAUUUUAUUUCGGUAAGACAUUUUCCAUUUUCCUCCACUCUAUCACAACAGUCGUUCUCCUUCCUCUUUGUCGAUCAGCCUCCGCCUCUCCUCCUCGUCUCUAUUCGUUGGCCUCACCUCCGAAUUUGAGUCUUAUUAUCUCGUCGUCCUUACCAAGUCUGCAUUUUGAAGAAACUCCAAAAUCUAGCUUUCCAAUCCUAUCAAGGUAUAUCACUAUAUUUUAUUUUGACUACUCUGUAAAUGAGCAUUUGGAAUUUCCUUCAUGGGGUUUAACUUGUUGCUUUUGUCAUUGUUGCUUUUCUCUUUGGCUAUUUCCCUGAUUAUUUUUGUUCUUCAAAGUUAUUGUAUUUUGGUUACUCUGUAAAUUCGUUGCUUUCUCCAUGGCCACAUGUGACGAGUUUCUCUUUUUCUCUUUCUAUGUGAUUUUUCAGGGUAAGCUGACCAAGAUUUUAAUUGGGGGUUUUGGUUGUUUUUCAAGCUUGGUUCUUGAAUUAGCUUUUUUUGGUAAUCUCUUGAAUUAGCUUUUGUGUGUAAGGGAAAGGGUAUUUGGUAUAUUUGGUUUUUGUUUUGUUAAAAGACUAGGAUUUUUUGGAAUUGGAAUUUGUUUCUUGAAUUGUUAAGAAUUGGGAUUCAAGACCGAUUGCCAUUUUGGGUUUUUAUUUAGUAUAUAUAUAUCGGAAAAUAUUUUUCAUUUUUUCAUUUGUUUAAUAGUCUGUUUCCAAUUAUUUUUUCAUUUUCCGUUUGUUUUAAACUCUAAAUGUUAACCUUUUGUUUUACCGGAGAAGAACAAUAAGAAUAUUUUGUUGUAAUGCAGCAUGUUUGACACUAUAAAAUGCUAGUUCGUCUAUCAUUUUCUAUUGUCUGAAGUCUGAACUUUUGGGGUAAAUGUGAAGAUUCUAACUGUGUAAAGUUUCAUGUCUCUUGAAGCGCCAUUGGCUCGCAUGCAUCUUGUGAUGUAUGCACUGUUGUAAGGCUUGAGUUAGCAUCUUCCAUCCUUUGCAGGCAAUAGAAGUUUGUUUAUACUAUACUGCAGUGAGAAGAAACCUGUAUAUUUUUGCCUUUGUACUUCGAUUCAGACAUGCACACUCCGACUUGUUUGAUACUUUCUAAUUAUGCUACCGUGUUAUAGACCAAUAAAGCUGUAAAUUUGCUUUUAGUAAUGUAAUGUAUCUAUGCAUGCAUGACAUGAUGCAAACCUUGUAGGGCCACUACAUUUUUUGUGCAUAUUAUGAUCUUUAAGCCUGAUGCUUUGCACUCUUUGCUUUGAGAUGUAAGCCAUAAAUUAGAUGUUGGAAAUGCU
rnacentral:lncRNA from 1 species